UUAGCCAAUUGUCCAUCUUUAG
rnacentral:miRNA from 1 species